CCUAAGUUGCUAAGAAUAUGCGCCCAGCGUCAAAAAUAUGGCGCCCAGCGUGAUUUCUCACUAUUGCUAGAAUGGGUUGCUGCACAGGUCACGCCCAAUGCAACUAAAUGAGCGCACAACGCCAUUUCUGUAGAAAAAUUGAAUUUUGAAUUGGGUUUUCUGCACAGUGUUGGCCCACUUACAUUUUCCUUCCCAAAACCCUAGCAUCUCACUUAGACGCCUUACAUCUCUCUCUCGCAACUUCUCUGUCAUUCACGACCACCACACUCUCCCUUCUUACCACCAAGUUCUCUCAUCUCUUCCACCACAACCACCGUAACCCCCAUUCCCUAUUCCUCUGCCCAAUCGAUGACCACCACCACACCGUGACCUCCAUUACCGUCCAUCAACGUUGCCACCCAAGUCGCAACUUCUAAACCCAUUUCUUCCUUUCCAAUCCUUUUCCCCCUCUUAAAACCCCCAACUAUAACCCCUCCCCACGGCCUUUCUCCAUCCCUCUCCACCGUCACCAAACCAACACCGUUCCUAACAACUUCGUCACUUUACCCAACCCCAAUUCCACUUCCUCUCACGGCCCCAAACCCUAACACUCACGGGAUCCCAUUUACUGUGGCCAAUUGCCUUACUCACGGUCCUCUCACAUCUAUAAGCGAGUAACUUCCUUUUUCCUCUCCAACUCAAGAAUGGCUUCUUCCUCUAAUCCUAAGAGAAUCAAGACCAUUGGUCACAAGCUGGAC
rnacentral:lncRNA from 1 species